AUACUUACUUCGCAGGGAGCUGUCAAUGAUCAAGUGGGGCAAGGUUCAAGGACAAAGCUAUCCUAUUGUACUCCAGAUGUGCAGGCACCUGUAAUAUUCCCAAAUGCGGGACACUCAACUACAUAAUUUGUGGUAGUAGGGGACUCAGUUUGCACUUUCCCCUG